GAGAUUUUCGCAAUGCCCGAAAGGGUGACGAAGCGACGCCGCGUGCGGGAAGAAGGCCUUCGGGUUGUAAACCGCUGUCGGGAGUUAAGAAAUGUAAGGAUGUUAAUAGCAUCUUUGCUUGACUAAGGCUCCGGAGGAAGCCACGGCUAACUCUGUGCCAGCAGCCGCGGUAAUACAGAGGCGGCAAGCGUUGUUCGGAAUUAUUGGGCGUAAAGAGCACGUAGGCGGCUAUGUAAGUCGGUUGUGAAAGCCUUCCGCUCAACGGGAGAACAGCAUCCGAUACUGCAUGGCUUGAGUGCGGGAGGGGAGAGUGGAACUUCUGGUGGAGCGGUGAAAUGCGUAGAUAUCAGAAAGAACGCCGGCGGCGAAAGCGGCUCUCUGGCCCAUAACUGACGCUGAGUGUGCGAAAGCUAGGGGAGCAAACGGGAUUAGAUACCCCGGUAGUCCUAGCCGUAAACGAUGGGCACUAAGUAGAGGGGUUUUA
rnacentral:rRNA from 1 species